GCUUUGGUGGCUCAGUGGUUAGCGUGCUAGAUUGAAGAUCGAAAGGGUGUGGGUUCAAAUCCUACCAUUGUGUCCUAGGGUA